AGCCUCGAGGAAAGGAGCGAUAAGGAGCAGGAGAAUCCUGUCCCUGAGAGCGAGAGUGCUGUUGAAGAGGAUCCGCUGGGGCCCAAGUGCUUCUACAAUAAAGCCAAGUGCUUCUUCGACAACAUCUCCUCAGAACUCAAGUCGAGACGUACCACAUGGGCUGAGGAGAGGAAGCUGAAUGUGGAGACCUUUGGGGUCCCUGGGAGGUUUCUGAGGGGCCGUGGGUUUCGAGGUAAUUUCAGAGGGAGACGGGGCCGAGGGGCAGCGCAGCACCCUGUCCCGCAGAGAGUAGGGAGCGGACGGCUGUGAGGCCCGAUUCAGCCUUUCUCUGGGAUGUGGACGAGUCUCGUCUGUGAGCUUGGUUUCUAGUGUCUGAGGUUCUUCAGUGGUAAAUAUCACUAGACUGUUCUCGUCCUCUUGUGAAAAAUGGCUACGUUAUGUUAAACUGCCUCUUUUCUUUUUGUUUAAUGUAAAGAAUCUCGCAGCUUUAAUGUGAAAUGCACCUUAAUCGAUCACUGAUUUUUUGCAUCUGAACUAGAAUAGCACUUUUAUUUGCAUGUACAGCUAAUUUAAUGGCUAUACAGGAAUAUACAUUGAGAUGGAGUAGAUGAACUUCAGCCUAUGCUAUGGGGUCCCCAAUUAUUUAUUUUAUUAUUAUUUUUUUUUUCAUUUUAUUUUUUGCGUGUGUGUAAAAUUGUAAGGGGAUAUUGUACUUGAUUGUCAUUGUUAAUAAACAUAGGAAAUGAAUCUUGA